rnacentral:rRNA from 1 species
AUUGAACGCUGGCGGCAGGCUUAACACAUGCAAGUCGAGCGGAGUGAUGGUGCUUGCACUAUCACUUAGCGGCGGACGGGUGAGGAAUGCUUGGGAAUCUGCCCAGUAGCGGGGGAUAGCGUUUCGAAAGGAACGCUAAUACCGCAUACGCCCUACGAGGGAAAGGGGGGGAUCUUCGGACCUCUCACUAUUGGAUGAGCCCAAGUCGGAUUAGCUAGUUGGUGGGGUAAAGGCCUACCAAGGCGACGAUCCGUAGCUGGUCUGAGAGGAUGAUCAGCCACACUGGAACUGAGACACGGUCCAGACUCCUACGGGAGGCAGCAGUGGGGAAUAUUGGACAAUGGGCGAAAGCCUGAUCCAGCCAUGCCGCGUGUGUGAAGAAGGCCUUCGGGUUGUAAAGCACUUUAAGCGAGGAGGAAUGGCUCUUGGUUAAUAACCUUGAGCAGUGACGUUACUCGCAGAAUAAGCACCGGCUAACUCUGUGCCAGCAGCCGCCGUAAGAC